rnacentral:rRNA from 1 species
GAAAAGCUUCUAAGCUUCAGGUAACCAGGAACCGUACCCCAAACCGACACAGGUGGUCGGGUAGAGAAUACCAAGGCGCUUGAGAGAACUCGGGUGAAGGAACUAGGCAAAAUGGCCCCGUAACUUCGGGAGAAGGGGUGCCGGCAAUAGUGAGAUAAGAACUUAUCAAAGCUAUAGCCGGCCGCAGUGAAUAGGCCCAAGCGACUGUUUACCAAAAACAUAGGUCUCCGCUAAGUCGAAAGACGAAGUAUAGGGGCUGACACCUGCCCGGUGCUGGAAGGUUAAGGGAAAGAGUUAGCACUUUUGUGCGAAGCUUAGAACUUAAGCCCC